rnacentral:rRNA from 1 species
CACGUAGGGGGCGAGCGUUGUCCGGAUUUAUUGGGCGUAAAGAGCUCGUAGGCGGUUUCGUAAGUCGGAUGAGAAAACUCCAGGCUCAACUUGGAGACGCCAUUCGAUACUGCGAUGACUUGAGUCCGGUAGGGGAGUGUGGAAUUCCUGGUGUAGCGGUGAAAUGCGCAGAUAUCCGGAGGAACACCGGUGGCGAAGGCGGAUCUCUGGGCCUUACCUGACGCUCAGGUGCGAAAGCUAGGGGAGCGAACAGG